rnacentral:rRNA from 1 species
AUGUUUUCUCUUCUAAGCCUCGGCGCCUAAGGAUGAGUUGGCGGUGGAUUAGGUUGUUGGUGGGGUAAAGGCCCACCAAGCCGAAGAUCCAUACGGGCCUUGAGAGAGGUAGCCCGGAGAAGGGUACUGAGAUACUGACCCUAGCCCUACGGGGUGCAGCAGGCGCGAAACCUUUACAAUGCACGCAAGUGUGAUAAGGGAAUUCCAAGUGCUCUGUUUAACAGGGCUUUUGCUAAGAGUAAAUAUCUUGGCGAAUAAGUGGUGGGUAAGACUGGUGCCAGCCGCCGCGGUAACACCAGCGCCACGAGUGGUGACCAUUUUUAUUUGGCCUAAAGCGUUCGUAGCUUGUUUAGUAAAUCUUUUGUGAAAUCGUUAAGCUUAACUUAACGGCGUGCAGAAGACACUGCUGAACUUGGGACUGGGAGAGGUUAGAAGUAUUUCCAGGGGAGCAGUAAAAUGCUAUAAUCCUGGGAGGACUACCGGUGGCGAAGGCGUCUAACCAGAACAGGUCCGACAGUGAGGAACGAAAGCUAGGGGAGCGAACCGGAUUAGAUACGGGAAAUCAGCCAAGCUGAUUUCUGGAGUUAUCUUGUAAUUCGUUUAUAAAAACUAUUAUGAGAUAUUGAAGGAAAUUGUCAUAAUGUUGAUUUACUCGCUAACUACCCGAGUAGUCCUAGCUGUAAACGCUGCGAGCAAGGUGUUGCAUAUUCUCCGUGAAUAUGCAGUGUCGAAAUGAAGAUGUUAAGCUCGCCGCCUGGGAAGUACGGUCGCAAGACUGAAACUUAAAGGAAUUGGCGGGGGAGCACUACAAGGGGUGCGGCGUGCGGUUUAAUCUAAUUCAACGCAGAAAAUCUCACCAAGGGCGACGGCAGGAUGAAGGUCAGGCUAAAGGUCUUACCAAACAAGCCGAGAGGUGGUGCAUGGCCGCCGUCAGCUCGUGCUGUGAAGUGUCCUCUUAAGUGAGGUAACGAGCGAGACCUGCACUCAUAAUUGCUAGCGAACUCUUUGAGGGAUCGAGCACAAUAUGAGGACUGCCUUGGAAACAAGGAGGAAGGUGCAGGCUACGGUAGGUCUGUAUGCCCCGAAUCCUUUGGGCUACACGCGCGCAACAAUGGUAGGGACAAUAGGAUAAGACUCUGAAAAGAGAAUUUAACCCUUUAAACCCUAUCCAAGUUCAGAUUGAGGGCUGUAACUCGCCCUCAUGACGAUGGAAUCCCUAGUAAUCGGAUGUCAUCAUCGUCCGGUGAAU